UACGGGGGGAGCAAGCGUUGUUCGGAUUUACUGGGCGUAAAGGGCGCGUAGGCGGCCAGCGCAAGUCGGUUGUGAAAUCUCCGGGCUUAACUCGGAAAGGUCAACUGAUACUGCGCGGCUAGAGUGCAGAAGGGGCAACUGGAAUUCUCGGUGUAGCGGUGAAAUGCGUAGAUAUCGUAAGGAAGACCAGUGGCGAAGGCGGGUCUCUGGACAGUUCCUGACGCUGAGGCACGAAGGCCAGGGGAGCAAACGGG
rnacentral:rRNA from 1 species